CUCCUCCAGGCUGCUCCAAGCCUGUCCUUGCCAGAACCUUCCUGGAAGAGCCCUCUCUUUGUGCAACUGAGACUACCUCCCACCUGAGCACUGUGGUGUCCACACCAUACACAACCUCUCUCUCCUCCCUGGGACAGGUUUGAGAGUUGACGCGACAUCUUCGAAAUCACAGCCAGGCGGCCGUGUGGACGACGCGGGCCGGCGGUGUUCGGUGCGGAUGCUCAGCUGCCCGCCGCCUUCCCGGGGCCGCGCAUGGCGCACCCGGCACGUCCACGUCACUUUUGCACUAAGAUGGGGUCGGAUGGUCCGCCCCGGUUUUGUGCGAUCCCUGUGCAGCGGGAAGCCUUCUGAAGCUUGCACAACACAUCUCCUUCAGGAGGACAUGGACCUCACCUAUGGCAGCUGGGACCAGGGUGAGGCCAGAAGUUUGAAAUCAAGGUGUGAGCGGGGCUGCGCUCCCUGUGAUGGCUCUUGGGCAGUAUCCUUCCACCGUGGACUGGUUGUUUGUGUCCCCCCCAAAUUCAUAUGUUGAAACCUGAUCCUCAAGGUGACGGUAUUCAGAGGUGGGGCCUUUGGGAGGUGAUUAAGUCACGAGGGUGGAGCCCUCAUGAUGUGAUUAGUGCCCUUGUAAAAGAGACCCCCCCCAAGACCCCCCUCAUCCUUCCGCCGUGGAAAGACACAGCAAGAAGAUGCCUUCUAUGACUCAGGGAGCAGGUCCUCACCAGACAUGGAAUCUGCCGGCAUCUUCGUCUUGGACUUCCAGCCUCCAGGACUGUGAGAAAUAAAUGUGUGUUGCUU
rnacentral:lncRNA from 1 species